rnacentral:piRNA from 1 species
UGGUUAUCAAGGGGUGUGUUAUAGGC